rnacentral:rRNA from 1 species
AUUGAACGCUGGCGGCAGGCCUAACACAUGCAAGUCGAACGGUAACAGGAAACAGCUUGCUGUUUCGCUGACGAGUGGCGGACGGGUGAGUAAUGUCUGGGAAACUGCCUGAUGGAGGGGGAUAACUACUGGAAACGGUAGCUAAUACCGCAUAACGUCGCAAGACCAAAGAGGGGGACCCUCGGGCCUCUUGCCAUCGGAUGUGCCCAGAUGGGUUUAGCUUGUUGGUGGGGUAACGGCUCACCAAGGCGACGAUCCCUAGCUGGUCUGAGAGGAUGACCAGCCACACUGGAACGGGAACACGGUCCAGACUCCUACGGGAGGCAGCAGUGGGGAAUAUUGCACAAUGGGCGCAAGCCUGAUGCAGCCAUGCCGCGUGUAUGAAGAAGGCCUUCGGGUUGUAAAGUACUUUCAGCGGGGAGGAAGGGAGUAAAGUUAAUACCUUUACUCAUUGACGUUACCCGCAGAAGAAGCACCGGCUAACUCCGUG